ACGAGCUUACCUUUUCUUUUGUAUGUAUAUGUUUACAUAGUUUCUGCGUGUAGGACCACACUAGCUGCCAGGACAUCCAGUCAUACUCCUGUGGAAGGAGACCAAUUCUCAUGAAUUAUACUUCUUAUCUAUAGCACAUAUGUUACCUUUUGGAAGAAUGUACCUGUCUGUACCACUUUCUGUAUAGUCCUUUUAUUUCAUCCUACUCAUGUCUAAUACCUUCAAUACCUCCUACCUCAUAAUCUUUUAAGACUCUAGAACCUAUUUAAGAAUUUAUAUUUGUUCCAUCCCCUCC